rnacentral:rRNA from 1 species
CCUACGGGAGGCAGCAGUGGGGAAUAUUGGACAAUGGGGGAAACCCUGAUCCAGCGACGCCGCGUGAGUGAAGAAGUAUUUCGGUACGUAAAGCUCUAUCAGCAGGAAAGAAAAUGACGGUACCUGACUAAGAAGCCCCGGCUAACUACGUGCCAGCAGCCGCGGUAAUACGUAGGGGGCAAGCGUUAUCCGGAUUUACUGGGUGGAAAGGGAGCGUAGACGGCAGCGCAAGUCUGGAGUGAAAUGCCGGGGCCCAACCCCGGAACUGCUCUGGAAACUGUGAAGCUGGAGUGCAGGAGAGGUAAGCGGAAUUCCUGGUGUAGCGGGGAAAUGCGUAGAUAUCAGGAGGAACACCGGCGGCGAAGGCGGCUUACUGGACUGUAACUGACGUUGAGGCUCGAAGGCGUGGGGAGCAAACAGGAUUAGAUACCCGUGUAGUC